AGUGAACGCUGGCGGUAGGCCUAACACAUGCAAGUCGAACGGCAGCACAGUAAGAGCUUGCGCUUACGGGUGGCGAGUGGCGGACGGGUGAGGUAUAUAUCGGAAUCUACUGUUUCGGGGGGGCUAACGUAGGGAAAGUUACGCUAAUACCGUAUACUACCUACGGGGGAAAGCAGGGGAUCUUCGGACCUUGCGCGUUUGAAUGGGCCGAUGUCGGUUUACCUGGUUGGCGGGGUAAUGGCCCACCAAGGCGACGAUCCGUAGCUGGUCUGAGAGGAUGAUCAGCCACAUUGGGACUGGGACACGGCCCAAACUCCUGCGGGAGGCAGCAGUGGGGAAUCUUGCGCAAUGGGCGAAAGCCUGACGCAGCCAUGCCGCGUGAAUGAUGAAGGUCUUAGGAUUGUAAAAUUCUUUCACCGGGGACGAUAAUGACGGUACCCGGAGAAGAAGCCCCGGCUAACUUCGUG
rnacentral:rRNA from 1 species